rnacentral:rRNA from 1 species
CCCUUAGAUGUUCUGGGCCGCACGCGCGCUACACUGAUGCAUUCAACGAGCCUAUCCUUGACCGACAGGUCCGGGUAAUCUUUGAAUCUGCAUCGUGACGGGGAUAGAUUAUUGCAAUUAUUAAUCUUCAACGAGGAAUGCCUAGUAGGCGCAAGUCAUCAGCUUGCGUUGAUUACGUCCCUGCCCUUUGUACACACCGCCCGUCGCUACUACCGAUUGAAUGGUUUAGUGAGAUCCUUGGAUCGGCCCUGUCGCGGCUGGCAACGGCCGCGUCGGCGCGUCGAGAAGACGAUCAAACUUGAUCAUUUAGAGGAAGUAAAAGUCGUAACA